rnacentral:rRNA from 1 species
GACGAACGCUGGCGGCGUGCUUAACACAUGCAAGUCGAACGGAAAGGCCUUUUCGGAGGUACUCGAGUGGCGAACGGGUGAGUAACACGUGGGUGAUCUGCCCUGCCCUCUGGGAUAAGCCUGGGAAACUGGGUCUAAUACCGGAUAGGACCGCACUUUAGUGUGUGUGGUGGAAAGUUUUUUCGGUGAAGGAUGAGCCCGCGGCCUAUCAGCUUGUUGGUGGGGUAAUGGCCUACCAAGGCGGCGACGGGUAGCCGGACUGGGAGGUUGGUCGGCCACAUUGGGACCGAGAUACGGCCCAGACUCCUACGGGAGGCAGGGGGGGGGAAUAUUGCACAAUGGGCGCGAGCCUGAUGCAGCGACGCCGCGGGGGGGAGGACGGCCUUCGGGUUGGAAACUCCUUUCGCCAGGGACGAAGCGGUUUGUGACGGUACCUGGAGAAGAAGCACCGGCUAACUACGUG